GCGUAGAUGAUAUUUUUAUUUUAGUAAAAUUUUGGUGGAGUUAGGAGUCUAAGGUAGUUGGAUGUGAGUAGUGUGUCGGAUUUGGUGGGAUAGGGGUGUUAGUGGUUAGUGGGGAUGUUGGGAUAAUAUUUGAUAAUAUUUUUUUAUUUUAUUUUACCUUUUCUGUUUCACAUUCUGAUUUUACUUUUCCUUAUUCUUCUUUCUCUUUUUCUUUCUGCAACAUUUUCUUUUCGUGUUAUUCUUUCGUUAUUUUGCUUAACGAAUUGGUCGUCUUAAUCAUGGGAGAUCAACGUUCCAUCUACUCUUUGUUCAUCGUGGUAAGUUUGUAAGUUGUUUUCGGUUGGAUUUCUUUGUUAGUCUAGCGCGUGGGUGUUCUUAUUAGGGGGUUUAAUUUUUUGUAAAGGUUGUGUUAGAGAAGGUAGUGUAGCAGCUGAUUUCACUCCAACUGCCUGAUUAUGCGUGCGGUCGUAUUAGUUAGCGGUAAGUGUGUGCGCAUUGUUCGAUUUAGUAUUGAUGCAUUUGUAAUUUGUUUGCUCAAAAGGUGUUCGGUAUUCUGCUUUUAUGUUUUGAUGGUCUUG
rnacentral:lncRNA from 1 species